AAAGCUUUGAGGGCUGUCCAAAUGGUCCAAAUGCUCAUCCAAGUGACCAGGCAUUUAAACAGAUCCACAGUAGUGCUCAUGAGCCAGCUCCAACAGCUCACUGGCACUUAAACCUACCAAUACAAAACUCCCUUAAGCUCAGAGAAUUCCAAAAUGAAAUAUGUUGACAUUUUUGUAGUGACUUGUGAAAGGAUCCCCCCAAAGUGUCCUACAUUUCUCCUAAAGUGUCCCACACUGGGUGUGAUUCGGCUCAUGAUUUUACACACUGAAAGACCGACAUCCUGCACUGGUCGUCCAGUUACUGGAAAAAGACACAAAUAUUUCCAAGAAGAGGUUUACUCACAGUGUUUUUCCUCCUUGGUUAGAGAUGGAUCAGGAUUAGCUAGCCUGCAGGAGGCAGGAGCUCGUAAAUAUGAUGAUGACAUUUCAAGAUUCAUGGAAGUAAAGAACUCUACAGAAAUUCUUUGUAAAUUGGUUAGAAGUGAUGGGAAAAAGAUCCAACAUAAAAGUUUGUUUUAGAUGCAUUUCCAGAUAUUUAUGUUUCUAAAACACUGUAUUUUGUGCCUCUGUUGGGAAAGACCAGAAGAAAAUGUUAUCUUGAUUUCUUGAAUAUUGCAUGUUACACAUAGAUUAUGCUUCUUCUUAAGUGCAAUAAUUUGUUACAUAGAUUAGAAAGAAUGUGGAAAAUAAAAGUAUAUAUAAGUCCA
rnacentral:lncRNA from 1 species